CAAUAGCGUAUAUUAAAGUUGUUGCAGUUAAAAAGCUCGUAGUUGGAUUUCUGGUGGGAACGUUUGGCCGGCCGUAACGGUUUGUGCUGAAAUGUUUUUCGCCAUCCUUGACGAAUACUGGUUCGCCAUUAAGUUGUGUGAGCUUGGAGUCGUCAUCGUUUACUGUGAAAAAAUUAGAGUGUUCAAAGCAGGCUUAUGCCGUUGAAUACAUUAGCAUGGAAUAAUAAGAUAGGACCCUGGUACUAUUUUGUUGGUUUGCGUACCUAGGUAAUGAUUAAUAGGGACAGUUGGGGGUAUUUGUAUUCCAUUGUCAGAGGUGAAAUUCUUGGAUUUAUGGAAGACAAACUACUGCGAAAGCAUUUACCAAGGAUGUUUUCAUUA
rnacentral:rRNA from 1 species